rnacentral:other from 2 species
CUGCGGCUGCGCGAUACGUCAGGAAUCAUAUCCCCGGGGCCUUACGCAUCCCUUCGGGAGCUGUCCCUGCUUCGGACCGUGGUCUGUUGCAUACGGUGCCCACCUACACAGUAGGUUUCCCGGGAUUGCAACUUCCAACGAUCGUGCGGCCGUCUC